AACGAACGCUGGCGGCAGGCCUAACACAUGCAAGUCGAACGCCGUAGCAAUACGGAGUGGCAGACGGGUGAGUAACGCGUGGGAACAUACCCCUCGGUUCGGAAUAACUCAGGGAAACUUGAGCUAAUACCGGAUACGUCCGAGGUUUUGAUCGACCUUGGAGAAAGAUUUAUCGCCGAAGGAUUGGCCCGCGUCUGAUUAGCUUGUUGGUGAGGUAAUGGCUCACCAAGGCGACGAUCAGUAGCUGGUCUGAGAGGAUGAUCAGCCACAUUGGGACUGAGACACGGCCAAACUCCUACGGGAGGCAGCAGUGGGGAAUAUUGGACAAUGGGCGAAAGCCUGAUCCAGCCAUGCCGCGUG
rnacentral:rRNA from 1 species